rnacentral:misc_RNA from 1 species
AGGUCGUACAAGGUUUCCGUAGGCGAACCUGCGGAAGGAUCGUUAACACGUAUUCAACGUUAAACUCCCGUGAACCAAUGCCGUGCUCUCGUAGCCCAUGAUGAGCAGCAAUCCCUGGUAAAUCAUUGUUGAACAGAUUUUGAUUCAGGGACCUCUGUUUGAAAGGCUCGUUCCGAAUGUUGCGCUAGUAUCAGAGGUUGGCUUCCCCAAACGGUUGGGCGCAAGGAUAACGCUUUACGAUCGCUGUAGGUCGAACACCGGUCCCAUUAGGGCCGCGAUAAUCCGCAGCCCAAAAAACCCGAACAACUGUUAACAAUGGAUAUCUUGGUUCUC